CUAUGUAGUUUUUCGUCUGCUAUAGGUCGCCUAUUCAAAACAAAGGCGUAGCUUGAUGACGCCAAGUUUAAGCGUGGAAUCUUGGUACAUGUGGUCUUCACCUUACAGCCAGUGGAAAAGAAUCGGGACGGGACUCGGGCAGAAAUCAUGUUCAUGGAUGAGAUUAUUAACAUUACUCUAUUAUGAAGCAGAGCAGGACCGAGUGUUGUGGGAGCUGAACGAGGCCGCUGGAGCGAUUGUUAAUGAGAGAUGAACGCAACACACGCCUCACGAGCAGCGGAACUUUUAUUAUGCCACAGUCGCCGGCGCCGUUUACGCUUUUCCGGUCAUGAGUAUGAGGUGACACAGCUCCGUUUAUCAUAUUAGAUACAUUUGAGUGUGUUGAAAAUUAUGUUAUAACAUUACUCUGAGCGUUUGCUUGGCGGCUGCUGUGAGACACUUGUUGCACACUGCAGUAAGCUAGAUCAAUUUUAGAAUAUCAUAUUAAAUGCUGGAUGGCUUGUGUUGAUAAACGGCAUGCGAUUAAUUUUAAAGCGUAUUGUAUGAUGGAGAAAAUUCUGUAUUACGGUUACUAAAAAUAAAGCUGCAUCUGAUUAUGCUAUGUUAGCUACUUGACAAAAUACUGUUUUUACUGUUGAGGCAUGGUAAAGCAUGGUACUUGCAAAAAAUCAAGAAAAUUAUAUUUAAACAAUAAGACUAAACGUGUUGAGCUAUAUAACCAUAAUUAGUUUUCUGUCUAUAAAUGUAUCAAAACAGUUGUUCCCUUGUCUGUAUUCCCACAUGUAAUAUAUGUUAAAGCGUCUUUGGUGUUUCCAUGGUUUCCACAAAAUAAAACCGGAAACUGAGGGUAACGCCGAUAUGACGCCAUUGACAGGCGACUCCCUUACACGUCCCGGAUCCUUGGUUAAAAUUGCGAUUUUCUCACGAUUUGCAAAUAGUUGGAAACAUUUGGGAUAUUGUAAAUACUCAAUUGAACAAAAUAUAUAACACUGGCCUAGUGGUUUUUGGAUAUUUUACUGCAACAAUUUUACAUAUUGCAGCUUUAAUGCAAUUCAAACUCUGGUAUCCAGACCUUACUCUAUGAAGUUAUAGUUAAGUUCCCCCGUUAACUAUAGUUACUUCCUCUUGCCUUCACCUCAUUUCAACUCUGAGGCUGUAGAGAUUCUAUACAGAGGUCAUCUGUGAUCUCAUGUGCGCGGCUUUAACGAGAUGCAGGAAACGCCCACAUAUGUGCCCCUAAGUCUGCUAUCACACUUUAUAAAGCCCUAGUGGGAAACUUCAUCAGCCCACUACAAUCUACAAACUACAAUUAUGACUCACGGAUGGAUGAUGAAUCGCUGUCUGUGUGUUUGAAAUAAAGCUUCACUGAGUCACUCCAUUCACACGCACAGGCAACAGGAGACACGUAGUCCGAUGGGGCGUUUUUUUCUCAACUACCGCCUGCAAGCGAAUGCACUCUUCGCUGCAUUCCAGUGCAGCUUCGCUCAAGAAUUACUCGAAAAGCAUCGUUAAAAUAUUAAGACGUUUUCUCUUCUCUUAUCUUCCGAGUGACUUAGCAUCAUUGUUUGAAUUCAGCUGAUUUCUAUGUCCUCUUGUCCUUACGAUGGGCAUCGUGCCAGGUAGAGGUUGCCAUGACUUCCAACGCCACCCCUUUUCAGCCCCCCAAGAAGGUAUUUUUUUUUGUGGAAUGCUCGGCGAAAGGUUUUAUUUUAGACAAAAGAUGUCUACUCAACAUCAGCUGAAUGCUUCUGGGCUCGAGCAGCAUCAUGUGACCCGCUGGUGAAGGUUUUGUGAAGGUGCCAGGACAGAAAGGGAGAAACUUGGAAAGCGAUGCUAGUGAGAGUUCUUUCUCUUUUUUUCCUCUCUUGUCUUUUCCUUGCUGAGAAAAUGGCGGACUCCGCAGACUUUCUGAUUUUUUAUCUAAAUUAUUUUGGUAUCAAUCCCUUUUGUUAAUUUUGAAUCUCACAGGUUGUUUUUGGUGGAGUAAAUAUGGUGAUCAAACUGUUUCCGAAACUCCAAAAAAAGUCAUGAUUCUGAGAAUGAAUGGGUGUAAAAACCACCGCCCACUUCGGCAUGGCUCAAGUGUACUGUGAGUUGAGCGUUUACGUCUGAUGAACUUCAGUAAGCAGCACAGAAAAACAAGAGCAGAUAUGCGGAUACUCCUCCACCACUGAAACUCGACCAGAUGACAAAGCUGACACAGGUUUGAAGGUUAAGCUCUUGGGACCUGGGCAGAGGGCAAAAGCACUCGAUCCUCUGGACGUGUCCCGACAGAGCCGGACAUGGGACGGAUGUCUGUGGGAGAUAAGAAAGAGAAACGGUGGAAGACGAGAGAGGAUGCAGAACUGGCAUGUCUAUGAGACUUAAUAUUCAAUAUGUUCACAUGCCUGUGAUGAUGAUGAUGGUUUCUUCUUGUUUUUAAAUAAAACUCGAUCUUGUACGUCUGCUGAGAUGUUUUUUCUUUGGGGUGAGGGGUGAGGAGAGGGUCGUCGUGCUAAUCGCUCAGUCUAGCUGUCUGGUCGCCGCUGCAGCUCAUCUAUAACCGACCUUUAUCAAGAGGAAGGGCCGGGAUUAUCAGUUAUUCCUUCAUUGGUUUGCUUUGGUUGCGAUCAAGAAGUCUGCGAUUUAAAAAAAAUAUCUCGAUAUCUUAUGCAUACAACAAAGAUUUUCAUUUUAAUAAACGUAAAAUGUACAACCAUUUUAACGGUGACGCCCUUCAUAGAAGAUCUCAGCACCUGCACUAUUAUGAAACAUGUCUACUUGGCUUUAUCCUCAUGUAUCCACCAGAUGUAAUGUCAUUUUUUGUUUAAUCCAAUAAUGUAAGAUCUGUCUGAUGCAUAGCCAAACAAGUCUGUGUAAAAAAAGCGAGCGACAUAUUGAACCAACAUAUGCUGACACCUUCAUUUACACAAAAACGAUUCCUAUGAAUAGACUUUAUUACCUAGUGAAGCCCAGACUUUGUGUUAGCAGAACAUGAGGCUUGCAGAUUAUUGCGCUUGUAGGCACAGCACGCACAGUCGUCCAUGUUUAUAUGGAUCUCAAUGUGUCGUAAUGUUGUUUUUGAGCAGAAAUGACAUUGAACUCCAGACGGGUGGUAGUUUUAAAGGGUCCGGUUGGCACGGAGCUGUGGGCUCCUUCCUGUUUUAAAGAUGUGAACUCAUUAAGUCUUACGCCUGGCUUUGUUCUUUAUCUCCCUGGAGUGUUUAACUUUUGAAAACCUAAUUUUGCUAAAUUACCCACAUUAGAAAUGUAGUUUCAAAACAAUUGAUUUCUCCCUAUUGCUCCCUCUUUCUCUCUCUAAUUAUAUUUUUCCCCUGCUUGGUUUCGCUCUGAACAAUGGCGGAUGCCAACUAAUCAGCCUGGGUCUGUGCCACAAAGCUCCCAGCAACAGCUGAAGCUCUGCCAUGCUCUGUGCAUACCAAGCAGUCAGCCACGACUGACGAGCGCCAGCCUGGUGCCCAACGCGGGGUCAGACAGUUUUAUUAGGAUCCGUCUGACACUCGGCACAGGCUGGCAAUGCCAACGCGCAGAUAAAAUCUCGUGUGCUGCUCACACUAUUCAUCUGAGCUAGCACAUAAAUACUCCCUCAUCCCACACGCUCUCACACACACAUGGACCAUUUCAUCAGCUAGAUGAGAAAAGGAACAAAGACUUGGAUCAAGCCAGGAAUGAAGAUUUUGUUAUUUAAUAAAUGACCCGACUUCUGAAUGGUCCAGCAAGCAUCGGGCUCUGAUGUCUCAGCCUCACUGACGUGGUUUCAUAUUUACAUUUUUGGCUGACAGCAUUUCGGACGGUUUCAUUUGUGUGUAUCAGAGCAAAAAAUGGUUCGUUUUCUGCCUGAUAAGUCUGACCAGCAUUUUCAGACAGACACAUACUUCCAGAAAGACACACAGACAGACAGACAUGCAAACAAUAAAUGAAUCAAUGUGAAAUAGUUUAAAAUCAAUAACAUUAUAUACAAGUUCCCCAUAUUAUUUGUCUAAAUUGCCUGGAUGUCAGGUUUGCUACAAAUAAAACAGAUGGACUGAUAAAAGUUACACACACACACACACACACACAUAUAUAUAUAUAUAUAUAUAUGUGGAUAUGUAUGUGUGUGUGUAUAUAUCUAUAUAUAUAUAUAUAUAUAUAUAUCUUGUUUUAUAAUCUUGUUUUAAGGAUAUUUAACUGGACAAUUUAGAUGGACUGAUAAAAGUUACACACAUACAUGUUAAUGCUGUCAAAUAAUUAUUUGCGCUUAAUUGCAUUCAAAAUAAAAGUUUGUCUUUACAUAAUAUGUGUGUGUACUAUAUUUAUGUAUAUAUAAACACACGCAUGUAUAUAUUUAAUAAAAAAUUAUAUUUAUAUAUAAAGUAUAUAUAAAUGAAAUUAUAUAUAUACAUGUAUACAUGUAAAUAUUUCUUAAAUAAAUGCAUGUAUGUGCGUGUAUUUGUACAUACAUAAAUAUACACAGUACACACACAUUACUUUUAUUUUGGAUGCGAUUAAUCGUUUGACAGCACUAUAUAUAUAUAUAUAUAUAUAUCAAAUGUGUAUUAAAGGAAUGUACAGAGAGAAACAGUGUUCACUUGUAAAUUAUAAACAUUUUGAAAUAUAAAAUAAUUGAAAUAUAAAAAAAUAUCGAAUAAUUGUUAUAGACGAAAGAUUCCAGUGAUAAAUCUCAGAAGAUAAAGACCGGCCACUGAGGAAUUAAAAGAGCCUGCUGAUGGUGUGUGUGUGUUUUUGCUAACCGUGUGUGGUUUAAAUAAACUUAACAUUUGUCUGGGAUAAAGGUACUGAAAGUAGAUUAGGCACUGAGAGCUCAGGCGGGAGAAACUGCAGGAGCCGGGUGAAUUUACAGGAUUACAGGAAUCUUUCUUCCAUUGGUUGUCAGGGAUUGUUGUUGUGCGUGUUAUCGGCGCAGGUCAGAGGAAACAGUGGGCCCUUCUCACUGCUCACUGCAGGUACAAAUAACAGGUGUAUACACACACAAAGAGUCUCCGAACAUCUGCCUACAUCCAGACACAGAGAGAAUGAUGAAUACUUAAACGUAUGAGAGCAAAUGCCACAGAAUUCACUUAUUUAUGAAAAUAGAUAUGGAAAAUAUAUCAGUCACCAUAAUGGUGUCAAUAUUAGUCAUCUUUUUUUAAGCAGUUGAAUUUAAUCUGUGCUGUACAUUAAAUCAUUUUGAUUUCUGACCUCACUUUAUGCAAAACUAGUAUAGUUUUAAUAUUGGCCAUCAUAGCAGUCAUCAGACAUAACGUAAAAAUUAUUUGAUAAAACUGAUAGUUCUGAGUUUCAAUUCUGAUUGACAUUUGAAGCCAGGGUAAAAUACUUCAAUGCAUAUUACUUACCGUAAUUCAGAUUAUUGUUAAUAAAUGUAACUGUGUUGAACAUUAGCAUCUUUGGCCUCCAUUGGAGGCCAUUCAUAAGUCAAUUUAUUAGUUUCAUGUCAUAUUGAGCCUAUAAGAAAUCCAUUUCCUUAUUGUUUAGCCACUGUAUCACACAACUCUUGUUGCUUUUACCUUUAAUAGGCUAUUGUUAUGGACCUACAUUUCUAUUAUAUGCUGGUUCCCAACCCAAAACCAGUUCUGUGUUGUACAUUUGUGUUGUUUUGAUGGUUAAUCCAGCUUCAGCACUUACUAAGAGCUCAAUGCGAUGAAGCUGAAAUCUCAAAAUGUGCUGUUUUAAGAGUUGAGGCCUGUUCACACCAAGAACGAUGACUAUAUUAGCGUCACACCAGUGCACAAUAUCACUCUGUUUAUUUUAAGGUCAGGUCCACACUAGUUUUAAAAGGAAAGCAAUCCUCAUCCAUACUGCCGUUUCCACUGCGUUUCAGAAAAGAUCUCCGUCCACACUACACGACCGAAAACGCAUGUCACAUGACCAUUCAUGCACACUGGGCAUGCACGUACAAGUGUAAACAGUUGUUGAUUGUUGAAGAUUGCUCUAAUAAUAGCUUGCCUCUUGCGCAUAUAUGGCUGCUAAAAAGGACAAGUUAGCAAAGCUUGCAGUUCUGUCUCCAUGUCAUUGUUUAUACUAGGGCUAGGACAUUACAUGGAAUCUCAAUUCACAAUAUGAAGAAUCUGGAGCGAUUCUGAUAUUUUCCGAUGUAUCGCGAUUCUCUCUCGAAUUGAUUCUAAGCUUAGUUUUUAAACAGCAGAUGGCACUACUUUACGUGCUUUAAAAACACUUGUACACUGCCUGUUUCCAGUUCCUUUACACACACCACUUAAACCUAAAAUAAUCGAAAACAUUUGAAGCGAAUUACAAAUCUUGCAUCAUAAAAGCAUUCUGAGCCGAGGUGCAAGAAUAUUUAACCACUUACAUGACUCAGCCGAACGCACUAUAUCGGUUCCAUCGCCCCAAAGUCAAUGGGUUUUUUGAAUGGGUUUUUGCUAAAUCGUCUGAAAUAAGGUCUGUGGUUAACAAAGCCUCUAAAUAUUUUCACGUUUUGAUCUAUGACAUAAAACACACCAGUUAUAACCCGCUUGUGAUUUUUUUAAACCUUUAUCAUGUCUUAAAAACGGCGGUUGCUAACAAAUUGCUAAAAGGGACUACUUCCUUUGGCGGGGACUUUAGACCUCAUCAUGACAAACAGGACAUUUGGACAGCAUUUCUCAUGAAAAAGUGGAUAAGUAUUCAUAUACAGCGCAGAUCAUAAUCAGCGAGCAUGUUUUUAAAUAAAGUUGUUUUUAAAUGAAGUUUGAGGAAGCUUGGUGGUGGUGAAGUUGAUCCGUGACCAUGGUGUGCUGUAGUCCGUUUAUAGCCUACUGUUAGCUUUUUAUAUCCGACGACUUUAUUUAGGCUUCAAAAUGUAUAAAUGUUGUGUUAACUUGUAAAGAUUAUCUUGAUAGACAAAACGUGCAAGUGUCAUAACCCUUUGUUAAACACAGAGUUUAUUUUUUGUGAUUUUCCAAAAGUCUGUGAGAAAAAUGCAUUGGCUUUCGAUCGAGGGAACCCGUGCACCGCUAACUUCCGGGUUGGCCUACAAAAACAAGUCAUCCCUGAGGUACUCUAUUGCUGUCCAGCAUUCUUCUUCGUGAGCAUUUGAGCGUGUGGUUAAAGACUAGCCUAGAGCGCCAUCUGCUGUUAAAACUAAGCUCAGAAUCGAUUAGAGAGAGAAAAUAUCAAGAUCGAUCCAGAUUCUUUGUACCGAUCGAGAAUCGAUGUAUCAUCCCAGCCCUAGUUUAUACGGUUGUCGAGGCUGUUACUGUUACUGUGUUCCUGUAGUGUAAUGGUCAUAUGAUAGGGGCUUGACGAAUCAGGGAAGGAUAUGCAAUGAUCCAGAAGACCCAAUCAGGGAGCAAACGUGGGCAGCCACGCCUUCGUUUUCAGAAGUCUCCAUUUUGGUCCUUCUAUACUGAAACGCAACCCUGGAGAUUUCAAACUAAAACAGGGUCUUCAGCGUUUUUCCAAAAGUCUCCAUUUUCGAGGGUCGAAAACUCUGGAGUAGUGUGGACGGCAUAACUGUAGCAAAACUUCUGCCUUUUUAAACGAAAACGCACUAGUGUAAACAGGCCUAAGGGUGCACUGCAGUUUUGUCGUCUGCCAUUUUAAAUGCUCAAGCUCGUUACAGCAGGAAGGAUUCUGAUUGGCUGUCAACGUUCAAGCAAUGGUCAUUCAUCAAAAAAAAUCGUUCUGAAAGUGAUUCCAACGAUAGUUUCUCUGUGUUAUUAUCAUUAUAGUUGUGGUGUGGACUCUGCUAUUCUUUUAUAUUUAGAACAAUUUUUUAAACUAUAUCUUUAUCUUUAUAGUUAUCAUCCUUGGUGUGAACAGGCCUUUACACUUCAUGAACAUGUGGAUGUCCGAUAGUCCCAGGCUAGACAUAACCCAGAGGAUCUUUUAAUAUCUCAAAAAAACAAAACAAAAAAAAAAACUUAACAUUCAUGUAUCAGAUUGGUACUUUAUAAUUUUCACCAGUCUUAUAAAAAAAACUGAUUCUAAACUUGAUAACAUGUAUUAAACAUCAAAUUAGGGUCUCAUAAACCCCGGGUAUAAAACAACAGUAACACUUUUUUUAAGGUUCUUUUAACUAUUUGCUUAUUAGCAUGCAUAUUACUAGAAUAUUGGCUGUAUAUUAGUACUUAUAAAGCAGAAAUCAAAGCCUUAUUCUACAUUCUUAAUCCUACCCAAUACUUAAACUUAACAACUACCUUACUAACUAUUAAUAAGCAGUAAAUUAGGAGUUUAUUGAGGGAAAAGUCGUAGUUAAUACAGAAUAUGUGUUUCCCAUACUAAAGUGUCCUAAAGAAACAAUGUCCCUAUAGUGGAUAACAGUUCAAUUUCUUAAAAAUGCUUGUCUACUUAAUGAUUCAAGGGUUAAAGCUUCAAUAAUAUAUGUCUGCUGGGGUCUGAUAAGGUCAGACAGAGAUAUUACAAGAAUUUGAAGGGAAAAUAAGAAGUAAUUUUGAAGAUGUCAUUAUUUUUUAUACAUCUCUGGGACCCCAAACGUAAAGAAAGUAAAUCAAUCUCAGCAGAGAGUAAUGGCUUAUAAUUGGCCUGCAUCAGUCUAGAGGACGUAUCUCCACACGGCCCGUCACUCAUAAAGUCUUUCCUCCCUGAUUCAUCCUGCCCUGUGUACCCUGUGACCGCCUGCCUUUCUCUGUGAUGUCUGCAGCACUGCUGUGGAGGCGUUGCCAAGGAAACGCAGUAUCUGGCUGGCAGCGUGCUGGAGUUAUUGAACCACAACUGGCUUUUUGCUUUAGAGGAUAAUUAGCUUCUGUCUCACAGGUUUCUCUCAGCCGAUGGGACUCCAGUGGAACCUGCGGCUGCUCCGAGCGUCUUCCUCCUGUCAGAGCUUUUAACCCGUCGGAUGGCGGUUAGCGAUAGCCGCAGGUGCUCCCUUUACCUGCACGAAAAGCUGCGUGAGCACUCCAGAAAUCCUCAAACACACACACACACAACCCAGACAUCUUUUUGUUCUUCAGCACACAGUGAGCUCUGGCAGAGAAAUAAACCUGUCUGUAUCAUAAAAUUAACUCUUUGUCUCCCUCACAAAAAAUGAGUUGAUCCCUGUUGUGAAGAAGUGUCCCAACAUAAUACCUCAGAUUUAUUUGAUGUUAUUUUUGUAUUAAUUGAUUGAAUUAAUGGUUUUAAUUGCUGUAAUUCUUUCUUUUUUUAGGUGUAGAAGAAAGAAGUUUUUUUCAGCUUGCAAGUAAAUCCCAAUUCAUUUCGUAUCAUUAUACACAUUCUUACUAAUUACUAAUGUAUGCCAUACAACGAUUUAAUCAUUUCAAAACACAAUCACUGCAUUGAAAAAUAAAUAUCACUAUAUUUGUCUUAUUUUCCAGUAAAAAAAAUAAAAAAUCUAAACAAGAUAAAUGUAUUUGAAAAGCAAUGGAUAUUAUGCAUAAAUACUGACUUUUCAGUAAAUAUAUAUAUAUAUAUAAUUUGCUGAAAAGCAAAUCAUAAUCAUAUCUAAAAAAUUAUAUAUAUAUUUGCUGAAAAAAUCAGUAUUUAUGCAUAAUAUCUAUUGCUUAUAUAUAUAUAAAGAAAUAGAAAUUUAGUAUCGGUGCAUCUCUAAUAUAUACAUAAAUUAGAGAUGCACCGAUACUAAAUUUCUCCACCGAUACCAAUAACCGAUUAUUCAGAGUGAUAUCUGCCGAUAACGAUACCGAUACCAAUAGUUUGGGGGUUCUGCCUUUUAUAACUUUUAAAUUAAUUACAAUUACAUUAUAAUUAAUAAUUAGUCAUUAUAUUUUUAAUUAUUAUAUUUUAAAAUAAAUGCAACUAAAAACUUUAUUCUUUCCAUUUCCUUAACUUGUUUCAGAGUAACUGGUAUCAGUUAUAAACAAACACAUUACUCAAAUUAAUAUUAACACACAUUAACUAAAUUCUGAAGAUUAAAUUAAUAUUUAUUAACUUUCUGAAUGUUAUUAAUUCAUAUAAUUACUAUUAAUAUUGAACAUCAAACUGGUUUCUUUACACAAAGCACAAAUUCAGUGUAUUUUCCUGCCCUCUUUUGAUUGACAGAAUAUAUCGGCCCUGACUAUCGGCUGUUUUUAAACUGAAAAUUGGCUUUUAUCGGCCAAUACCGAUUAUUGGUAUCGGCCGAUUAUUUAUAUAUAUAUAUAUAUAUAUAUAUAUACUUUAUUAAUAAAUAAAAUAUUUUAUUUUAUAAUAUUUUAUCAAUUUUGAUACAGUAAAUGUAUCAUAUUCAUAUUUUUAUUGGAAAACAAGAAUAUAAUUGGUGAAUAUAAUUUUUCCCACCCAUGUGUAUUGCAGAAAUGAAGCAGUGUGUAUGUGUGUGCAAGUGUGCAGUGGCAGUUUCAGCAGGUAAGUUUGACACAGAUACACUCCUGCAUUAAAGGAGGCGGACAAGAGAGACAGAUCCUUUGACAUUCUGCUUUCACACACUGUCCAGUGACACACACGCACGCACACACACAUGCAUGCAUGCACACAUUCUCAAACUGCAAACACCUAAUAGUCUCUGUCCUCUUGCAUGUUUGUAUUUUCAAAUGCUGUAGAUGUUUAAGACUUUCUAAUAAAUACUGUUUGUUACUGAAUUAA